AUUCCGCUUCCUCCUCCCGCCGCCGCCGCCGCCACUGCGUCCUGUCAGCGCCGGUUGCUAGGUGUGGUGCGUCGGGAGGGGGCCGGGGCCGGCGGCCGCGGGCGGGGGCCGGGGAGCUUGCCCUCUCCCUGGGAGGCGGCCGAGGGGCCCGGGCGGGGCCGGGGACGCGGGCCCGGGGGCUCUGGGUGCCCUCCCCUGCCCCGGCCUGGCGCGGACGCCCGGGCGCUGCGGGCUGAGGUCUUGGGUGCGCCCGCGGGCCGCGCCCAGCGCCCCGGGGUCGACGCGCCCUGGAGGCCCCUGCGGCGGCGCCCGCUGGAGAGACACCCCCAGGGCCCAUGGCCGGGCAUUUAAAUGCACCCCGGCUCUGCGAUUUGCCUUUCUAAUGGUGCUAGGCCCGAGGUGCGCUGGCUGCGCCCUGGGAUCGGCGGCGGCCUGCGCAGCGCCCCGGGCCCGGGAGACGCCGGGGAGGGGGCGCCCCGCAGGGUGGCUGCUUUCCCUUCACGCCUGGACCCCUGGACCUUUCAACAAGUCCUCUGAUUUGCAGAAGUCAUUGCACACAUUUUCACACUUCUAUUCGGAACCCCUGCUAAGGGAGGUGGGCCGGGUGCAUCUGGCUUAGGCGGUCCAACCACCUGCGGAAGGUGUGACCGACGCCAGCGAGUUGUCCUGCGUGGGCUAGAAGGUGAAGGGUCCGAGCGAUGUCCCAAUGGGGCUGUCUAAUCCAGAGAACCUGUAAAUUGCCCCCAGGAAGUCCAAAUGAAUGCCAUGGAUUCAGCCAUGUGGAUGCAGCUCACGUUUCUACAAAGUUGAGAGAAUAAAUCACGACUGCUGUGUAUUUAUGCAGGAAUAAAAUGAGGCAGAACCCUAUGCUCCUUUGCUUAGUAUAGUGCUGUCUCUGCACACAGUGGCUGCUUAAUAAGUGUUGAAUGCCUGUUUAGAAUGUGAUUUGAUGGGCCAUCCGGAAUAGGAGAUAAUCAUGGGAAACGUCUACAAAAUGUCUUUCAGAGGAAAAUGCUGUUGAGUAAUUGUCCAGGUUUUGAAACUUUUCAAGUUUUCAGGCGUCCUUGUAAUAGCUUCUUCCAUUUCCUCUGCUAAAGAUUUUUCAAGGCCUGUGUUUUUCAUUAUAAAAGUAUUAUGUUUAGUUUGGAUUAAUUAAGUGCAUUAAGUUGAGAAUAACUCUCUGUUAUCUUAUAUGUGUAUGCUUAACUUUUGUUUUUAACUGUUUUCCUCUCCCCAUAAUGAACAAGGAUUUGGGGGCUUUAGAACCAAGGGAAGUGUGAUUUUCACCACCCACUUUUUUAGCUCUUUUCUCUCCUGGAAGAGUGCUGUACCGGUGUUCCUGUUUUCUUUCUUGCAUUUCACUGCUGGUUCAGUACUGGAGUACCUGUCUCAGUGUAUACACUGAAUAUCCUAGCUAAAACUCUCCCCCAUCCCCACUUAAAUUUAAAUUGCCGAGAAAUCCCGUAGCCCUGCAACUGUGAAGUGCUUUUCCAUCAAUUUUGUUAUCAAUUCAUUCAUAGGUCUGAGUCUGUUACAUGGAGAUGGGAAAAGCAGGUCCAGGUUUGCUUGCUUCUUAUUUUGAGUAGAUAAUUGAGUUUGUAGAAACAUUCUUGGUAUGAACAUCCUAGAUAGAUGAAGUUAAACUGGUAACUGGGAAUCUUAGAAACACCAGGAGCACUAAAUUUAGCACUGAAGGUCAUGUCCCAGGCUCAUGAAAUGCCGCUACAACCCUGCAUCCCAGUGCUAUGAAAUCGUAUGGCUUUUUGUCUGAGAAACACAACUGUUGAAUCAUUCUUAUUUGAUUAUUUGGUGCAUUUUUAAAAGUACCUCUGCAUUUUGAAUUUAUUUAUGUAAUAAUAUAUAUUGAGUCCCUAGUUUAUGCCAGGCAAAGUUAUGAGCACUUGAUAUUUUUUGGUUAACAAAAUGAAAAUAUCACUCUUUAGGAAGUUUAUAUUCUAGGAUAGGGGGCCAGACAAUAAACAAUUGAGGUGACAGUGAGGAUACCUUAAGGCUGGCACAGGCUGGUGACACUUGAUGAGGGGCUUCCCUGGGACUGUUUGGAAGCCAGAGGCCUGGUGUUGUAGACUGAGUCUGAGAGACAGGAGACAAUGUUUCUGAAUUCCUUAAAAAUCCUCCUUUUCUAGUUUUAGCUUCUAGGGCAACAAUCAUACAUACCCCACAUUCCCUUAUAUUUCUCUACCCCAUUCUUACCCCCGCCUUCAGAUCUUGACAGUACAGACGUGUCCUGUGUACAAAGAAAUACUUGCUGGAUUGUAGAUACUCAUUUUGUUUCAUGGUGAGGUAAUAGAUUUAUUCCAUGUUGACCUGGCUAACGUAUUAAGUUGAAAAAUGUUAUUUAUUUAGAAUCUGAAGAUAGGAAACCAUAGAUGUCAGAAAUUUAUUAUGUGUGUAUUUUUUAAAAGUGCCUUCCAUUUAAUAUAUUUAAUUGCUGUAAAGAAAAUUGUAUUUUCCCCUCGCUGUAAGCACUGGAAUGUUGCAGUAGUUUUCACCUACUUUUUUUUUUUUUUUUUUUUUUUUUUAAAGCUAGCUGCAAGCAGGGACCAGAUUAGUGGAUAUCCUCUUUAAGGGUGAAGUCUUUCCAAUUGCUGUCAACUUUGGCAGGAGUCAGAGGGACUCUUCUUGGGUCACUAACAAUAGACUGUCUGCCCAGCACCAGAGAGCACUGAUAGUCCCCUGACGGCCAUUGUCCCUUGCCCAGCUCACCCACUGGCCUCCCAAGGAAGCACUGUUCAUUGUCUGCCAGACUACAAUGGUGACUUUCUCCUGAGAUAGACCUCCUUGAAGGGACAUGAUCUGGAUGCCAGGUUAAUAACACUGAAAAAUUCACCAUUUCUUUGGUAUUAUAGAUAUAAUUGAUAUAUAGAAAUAAAUAUAUAUUUUAGGCACAAAGGCAUGUAGGAUAUCUAACACAUAUAUAAAUAAUACAUGUAUAUGUCUAAUACACAUACCACAUAUAUGUGUGUACGUAUAUCCAUAUGUGUGUAUAUAUUUAUGUGUGUAUAUGUAUACAUUUGUAUUAUACAUUUUUUCCCUCUCUUUCAAGAUCACCAUGGAUAGUGAGGACAGCCACACAUUUUUGAGUAUUUCCUAUGUUAGUGCUUAAGACAGUACUUCCUAUCUCUAAGGAUUUGAAAUUUAUUUGGAGAGACCAGACAUGUACAGACUGAGAUAAAUAAUGAAUAAUAAUAGGGACCACAGAGGCAGAUUUAUUGUGAAGCUAAUGAAGCUCCAGCCCCAGGGCCCCUGACUUGUACAACGCAUUCCUUGCCGUUUUUGAAUAUAUUGCCAGGGCCCACCCAGCACUUUCCAGGGCCCUGGAGGAGCCCUAGCAGUAUACGUAGCUGGGCCUUCAUGGGAUCAUAACUGGUAAAAUUGGAAGAAGAUUUUAAGCAAUCCUUUAAUGUUUUUCUUUCUCAUUCUGACUUCCCUGCUGUCACAUUUCUGUUUGGGUUUGAUGACAUUGGACUUGAAAGUGCUUUUGAGAUAUAGCUAGGGGGAAGUCGAAUUGGGUCCACAUUUUGUUUGGGUUUAGUGGGAUGUAUUUAUGCAGUUCACAGUCAUCUCUGUGUCAAGUUAUCCCUAGCCAUCCUAGUGUAGAAGUUGCUUCAUAGGAUCGCCACCCACCGUGCCAGCUUACCUGGGGUCCUUACACAAAGGGGAGGGUCAGAGAGAGAAUUGCAGUGUUAACGGGUACCAUGACAUCUGCUGUGGGAUGGUUUAUGGUGCGUGGAGCCAGGUCUGUGGAGAAUUCUUUCACUUGUUAGAUGUGUAAAAUUCUACGUGGAGGAUUCAGUUCUUAUCUAAGUGUAGUCAGUAUGAAAAUUCUCUUCUUUUAGGAAUAUACUCAAUAAUACAAAUAUACUAUUAGAAAUGCACCAUUUUUAAUGGGAAUUCUGUGUUUAAGAUUCUUGUUCAUUUGACAUGAAUAUGCCUGAUACCAAAAAUACUGACAACAAACUGGUUAAUGAGUAUCAUUGAUAAAAAGAAUAUUUAAAGUUAGUCAUUGCACGAGAAAACUUGAAAUGUCCUGGAUUUUUAUGGCUCAUAUGUGAAAGAAAAUUAAGAGAUGUGAUUACAGGUUUGACAACAAUCCUAAAAAUGUAUAUGUCAUUGCCAAUAAAGAACUAUAAGGCUAAAAGUAACUUUUCUGAAUUGUCAAUAAUUAGGAAUAAAUUUUGAUCACCCAUGCUUGAGGGGAGAUUGAUUCAUCUUUCUGCCCUGUGGAAAAUGAUAUGAAUAUAAGUCAUUGUGAUAUGAGGAUUCAUCAGAGUAUACAGCCCAAAAGAAGUAUUUAUAGCAGUGUGUCAGGAAGUUAAUUAAUACACAUACUGGGUUCUUUUCCUGGAUUCUGAUUUUAGGAUGUUUUGGUAUUGCGGCUUGUAAAAUUUUGUGAUUUGUUGUGAUUUCUUAAUCUCAAUAGAUAAUCACUUUUGUAAACAUUUUAUAACAUUCAAUUUUUUUUCAUAAGAAAAGUCUGAAUCUGCAGGCCCACAAAACUUGGGUCUAUUCCUUGAGCUCCCAAUUCGGGAAUCAUUACUAUAUGUGCCACAGACAGUGCUAAAUAAUUUUUGUAUAGUAUUUCAUUGGCCCUCACAGCAAGCCUGUGAAGUAGACAUUACCCCCAUCCUGUAAGUACUGCCUUCCGCUUUGGAGUUAAAUAUGCUACCAUAUUAGUUAAAUAACACACUUAGUGAAAUAUGAACUAGAGUGUUUGUUUAUAUUGGUAUAAAACAGAAAUAUUUUUCUUCAGGACAGAAAGCCUCUUUUACCUCAAUAAAUAUCAUUAUUUUAAUGGGUCUUCCCCUCUCUGUCCUGUAGCCCCUGCCCACAGCUGCACCAGCGGGGGUGUGCUCUGAACUGUGUGGUCACCUCCUGUGCACUGUUUCCUCCCCCAGAAACUCAGGGUCUUGUCAUCAUCCUAUCCUCGUCCCCAAGACGUGUUUUCAGAAAUGGUAUGAAAAUAAAAAUUGAGAAGUACUUUGGGCUGUGAAAAAAAUAAAUUACAAAGGUAACUUUGGACAGUGAAAAACAUCUUUGAAAUUAAUUUCUGUAGGUUUGCAUCAAUGAGGGCUGUAUAUUUAUAUGUUUAUGUGUUUAUGGCAUUCACACAAAUAUCCAUUAUGCAAUUAGUCCAGUAUGGUUUAUAUUAAGGGAAUCUGAAAGAGACUCUUUUUAAAGCUGAUUUAAAAAGGAAAUUGAUUUUCCUUGUUAAAUUGCCAGGGGUAUUUGGUACACAGGAGGCAGAGGCCUGGGUGGUGAGAAGCAUGGACUGUGAAGCUAUACAGAAUUGGAUUUUGAAUCCUCCUGAUCUCACUAACUUGAGCUUUUCAAACUUGGGCAGCUCUUACAGUCUUAUUUAUAUGAGAUAGUAAUACUAUUAUUUAUUAUUUGGGGGGAUCCCGAGAUUGAUUUUCCUUUCACAGUACCUACUGGCUAGUUGCUUUAAUAUGCAUUAUGCAGUGUUAGUCCCAUGCGACGCAGGAGGAAGCCAGGACACAGAGCAAAGAACAGCCAGGAAAAUGCCCGGGGUAGCCAGGGCCGGCUUUGCUGCCAGGUGUGCCCAUAUACUCAGUGCUUGCUCUUUACAGCCUAAGUUGUGAUCUUUUACAAGAUGUUUGCAUUUUCAUUGAAGGCUCUUCCGCACCUGAAAGUCUUGGAGAAAUAAAUACAGAAAGGCUGGAUUUCCACCAAGAGCAGUGUCGAUGGGAGCAGUAUGGAUGGUUGAUGACAUAUUUUGAUGCCGGUUGUCUGGUUGAGGUAGAAAUGUUUCUGAAUGUGUCAAGGCUUCUGAAGAAAACACUUAGGUAGGACAGGAGGGUGCAUGAGCAUCCCAUCACAGUAACAACAAUGAAAACAAUAAUUUGGCAGUUCUAAAAUGGUUGUAAUUACUGAAUUGUCCAAAGACGCUAACUGGUUUUCUCUCUCUCGCUGAUGAUCAUUUAGGGAUAGGUUCUCCUGACAAACACAAUACCUAACCCUCUACACAUACACACACAUACACACAUACACACACACACACACACACACACACACACACACACACACACACACACACACACACAUAUCAACUUCUCUUUUACUUCAGAUUUCCAAAAUUAAAAUCAUGUAAUUAUGUUCAGGUACUUUAUUUUAUUAUUAUUUUUCAGACAGGGUCUUGGUAUGUUGCCCAGGCUGAUCUUGAACUUUUGGGCUCCAGCGAUCCUCCUGCCUCAGCCUUCUGGUAGCUGGGAUUGCAUGCACACGGCCCAGUACUCAGCUCAUGUACUUUAUUUUAAAGAUUUUUUUUUUGACUAGUGGUACAUAUGGGGCCCAACUGUAAACACUGUGAGUUAAGCACUGAAAACCCUCAGUGCUUGUGGCCUAUGUGUAGAGCCCUCACUGCUGGAUGCUUCCCUGGUGCCAUCCACAGAGAAGGCACACAUCAAGUCCUGUCACUCCAGCACCAGACCUUAAAUCGCUUCUGCAGGAGCACAUCUGGGCUUAAAAUUGAAGCACUCGUUUUCUUACCUAAUUCAUUUAGCGAGAGCCUCUCGAAUGCUAAUUUAGCUGCCUGAUUUUCCAUAUAUGGCAUAAUUAUGAAAGUAAUGGCAAAAGCAGGGGAAUCUGUAGAGGCAUACUUGUACAGUUUUCUGUUAAGUAAAUUGAACACCAUGGUAAUAGGCAUAAAUAAGCAGAAAUUAUGCCCAGGCUUCCUCAGGUAUCAAACAUCACAUGAAGGAAAUGGGGUUUUUGAAGUUUCUUUGUAAACCCAAGCUAAGUACUUCUUAUGGAAAGCUUGGCCUCAACAGUUUGCAGUUAACUUUUUCUAGGCCUCUCUUGUCCUCAUUGAGCUCAUCUCAGUUUACUUGGGAAUCUCACCGGCUGGUAGACUGUGGAGUAUGACUCAUCUUCAGGACUGAUAGCAAGUGUCACACAGGUGUUUUGCAGCCCUCCUGUAACUUAGAGAUAGUUUAGAUUUUAGAGAGAUGCCAAGUACAUCUUUUAAUAAGAUCUUUCUGACACUAGACAUCUGGAGUUUGGCAUCAACUCAAAGUGGUUGAUGAUGUGUGAUUUAAACUAAUGUGUCUCAAUAUUCUGCCCAGAUUGGAAACUCCCUUUUAUAUAUUGGCUCCACUUCAGCACUUUCAGGGGCCCACACCAAAAUAUUUGCUGUUAAAAUAUGCAAACAUCACACAGAAAAAUAAAGAGAUUAACGUAUAACGUUAAGUUAUACAUGCACUUCACUUCAGAUGUUAGAAUAAAGGAAUCGUCUUUUGUCAAUCCCUGGAACUAUCAUGGCACCUUCAGUGUAGUAUAUCUGACAUAACUUGUAAUGAGAAUGAUUCUCAUCUGUGGCUUGUGGAAAAUCAGCCUUAUUGAUUUAUAAGUCACACUGUGUAUGUCAGUGUUUACACCAGUACUUUAACACAUGGGUUGCCAUUCACAAUCACUUGGGUGAAGCUGGGGGAGAAAAGGUUUCCCGGGUUCUGAGUCAGAGCCUAUGUGUUCUUAGCCCUUCAGAGUUUAUUCUAAUGUGUUGCCAAGGUUGGGAACUCAUUGGGUUACACUAAUGAAAUAUCGAGCAUUGGGAGGAUUGUGUUGUUUCAAAAAGGAAUCAAACUUUUAAAGGUGUGUGUCCAUUUUGGGUUUCAGUUCUGUGGGUGUAGUUUUUAGUUUUACUGGAGGCAGGCCUUUAAUAUACAGCAAGUUUGAUGCUGUGUUACUGUCUCAGCUAUGUAGUUAGAGUACAAAUGCUCAAACCAGGGCACCUGUGGUGGUGAAAGAGUCUCAAACUCACAUGCCUCAGGACACAGCAUAUGAGGGAAGUAACCAAGUUCAAUGCAGUGGGGCGUGGCAGAGACUGGCAAACUGAAGAGUCUUUGCUUUGCUUAAAAAGGCAGCCGAUACCCAGUGUUGCCAUGUUGGAGUACAGGCCCUUUGUUGGCAGAUGCUUUUAUUUAUUAUUAUUAUUUGAGAG
rnacentral:lncRNA from 1 species